UGGAGCGAGAAGAUCUCAUGCUGUGACUCUCUGGAGGGAAGCACUUUCUGUUGUCUGAAAGAAAACAAAGCGCUUCUCUUUAGAGUGUUACGGUUUGAGAAAAGCAACGUUGAAGUUG
rnacentral:ncRNA from 3 species